rnacentral:rRNA from 1 species
UAAGGAAUAUUGGUCAAUGGGCGCAAGCUUGAACCAGCCAUGCCGCGUGCAGGAAGACGGCCCUAUGGGUUGUAAACUGCUUUUGUCAGGGAAUAAACCUUUGUACGAGUACAGAGCUGAAGGUGCCUGAAGAAUAAGCAUCGGCUAACUCCGUGCCAGCAGCCGCGGUAAUACGGAGGAUGCAAGCGUUAUCCGGAUUCAUUGAGUUUAAAGGGUGCGCAGGCGGAUUGGUAAGUCAGGGGUGAAAUCCACAGCUCAACUGUGGAACUGCCCUUGAUACUGUCAGUCUAGAGUAUAGUUGAAGUUGGCGGAAUGUGUCAUGUAGCGGUGAAAUGCUUAGAUAUGACACAGAACACCGAUCGCGAAGGCAGCUGGCUAAGCUAUAACUGACGCUCAUGCACGAAAGCGUGGGGAUCAAACA